rnacentral:rRNA from 1 species
UGAGCAAUCUGCCCUUCUCUUCGGAAUAAGCGUUGGAAACGACGUCUAAUGCCGAAUACGACCUCCUUUCGCAUGAUCGGAGGCGGAAAGCUCCGGCGGAGAAGGAUGAGCUCGCGGCCUAUCAGCUAGUUGGUGUGGGUAACGGCCCACAAGGCGACGACGGGUAGCCGGCCUGAGAGGGUGACCGGCCACACUGGGACUGAGACACGGCCCAGACUCCUACGGGAGCAGCAGG